GAGUGGACGCAUCACUGGUGUUCGGGUUGUCAUGCCAAUGGCAUUGCCCGGUAGCUACAUGCGGAAGAGAUAAGUGCUGAAAGCAUCUAAGCACGAAACUUGCCCCGAGAUGAGUUCUCCCUGAGACUUAGAGUCUCCUGAAGGAACGUUGAAGACGACGACGUUGAUAGGCCGGGUGUGUAAGCGCAGCGAUGCGUUGAGCUAACCGGUACUAAUGAACCGUGAGGCUUAACCUUACAACGCCGAAG
rnacentral:rRNA from 1 species